GGCGAGCAGCCCCGUGAGCACGGCCGUGCCCGGUCCCCGGCCGCCCCUGCCCCACCCCGCGGUGUCCCCUCGGGAGCAGAGCCGUUCCCCGCGGCUCCUCACUGAUGUCCCCCAGCACCGCGGCAGGGCUGCGAGUAGCGCGCUGGCUGGCAGAGACUGCCCUGGUGCCUUGGGGUGCCCGCAUCCCUCUUCAGCGCCUUGGAGACUUCUGCAGCAAGGACAUCUUCUUGGGUGCUUCUCCAUCCACGGCCCUUGCCUGGGGAUGUCUGCCAUGGGGAGGCACAGUGGCCGUCUCCCCGAGUGCCCUGGGGUGACUUUGAUUACCAGCACCCCCCAUCUGGGUGUACCCACCAGGGUCCUGUCCUGUACCAUCCUCGUAUCCUGAGGAAUUGCUCGAUGUCGGGGAGAAGGGCCAGACUGAACACUAUCAUAUAUUUGUAAAUGAUUGGGUUCACAGUGUGUUGAAGACAGAUGCAGAGCAGCAUAUCUUGACUUUGCACUCAGCGAAGCAUGUCAGCAUUCAGGGGUUUUACAAUAACUGGUUGUUUUGUACUAUGUUUUACUAACAGGCCAGAAAUGUGUGCAUGUGGAGCUACCUAGGAGAGUUAAAGAAAUACUUGAGGAGCACCUUCAUUUUGAGAAAGAAGAAUGCAAUGUUAAACAUCCAGCUGCAGUGGCUCUGGAAGGCGUUUGGAAUGUGAAAAACAAUUUCUCCAUUAGAAGCCUGAAACCAGUGUCACGGAAGAGAAAGGAUUUACUUUUACAGCCUCAAUUCUACUCAAGACAUGCAAGAAUGAAAAGUACUGCAUAAAACCAGAAAAGAAGUGGGGUCCUCCAGAGGCUGUUUCACCAUGGACUCCCGUGUGCUGCAGGGGCACAGCUGGCUCACCAUGGUCUUCCCCACAGGCUGCUCUGGCUCCUGGAACAUCUCCUGCCUCUCCUUCUCCACUGACCUUGGUGU